rnacentral:rRNA from 1 species
CACGUAGGGCGCAAGCGUUGUCCGGAAUUAUUGGGCGUAAAGAGCUCGUAGGCGGUCUGUUGCGUCUGCUGUGAAAACCCGGGGCUUAACCCCUGGCUUGCAGUGGAUACGGACAGACUAGAGGUAGGUAGGGAGAAUGGAAUUCCCGGUGUAGCGGUGAAAUGCGCAGAUAUCGGGAGGAACACCGGUGGCGAAGGCGGUUCUCUGGGCCUUACCUGACGCUGAGGAGCGAAAGCGUGGGGAGCGAACAGG